CUGUCGUUAGCUGUCAUACUAAUAUCCUAAGGCUGCUAUAAGGAAUUAAUUUCCAAGGGCUGCUGUAAAAACAACAGAAAUUUAUUCUCUUCCUGUUCUGGAGGCUGGAAGUCCUAAGUUAAGUUAGUGGGGCCAUGCUCCCUCUGACACUCUAGGUAGAAUCUUCCCUUGCUUCUACCUAGUUUCUGCUGGUAGCCGGCAAUCGUGGGUGCUCCUUGGCUUGCAGCUGUAUCAUUUAUAUCUCUGCUCUGUCCUUCCAUGGUGUCCUCCCUGUGUGUAUGUCUUCAUAUCGUCCCUCUUCUUAUAAGUGCGUGGGUCAUAUUGGGUUAAGGGCCACCUUUCUCUACUAUGACCUCAUCUUAACUAACUGCACCUGCAAUGACCUUAUUUCCAAAUAAGGUCACUUUCUGAGAUACAGGGGGUUAGAACCCAACAUAUCUUUCUCGAACACAAAAUUCCAUCCAUGGUAGCUCUCUAGGAAGUUUGAGAGGUUGGAAUUAUGAAAGUCAAUGGCAGCUGGCCAUUGUGAGGUUAUCGAAUCAAGCACUUCCUGCUCCGCACCUGCCCUGCAGCAGCCCACUCCCAGACAUCUGCGAACUGUGGUCAUCCAUCCCAGGUUCAGAUUCCUGGGACUCAAGCUCUAGAGAUGCUGUUGGCCAUGCAGUCAUAGGUGUUCAAGUGGCUACAUUUUGAGAAACACUUACACAGACAAGAGUCCAGGUCAAGGUCAGAUUUUGUUCUUUCAAGGGCUCCAUGACCAGGAAGUUGUCUGAUCACCACGCGGGGAGGAGGAGUCUGAGAGAACCCAGUACAGGAUCCUGCAGUGUGGUAUUCCUCCAACUUUACAGUGAUCCCCGUCGUUUGGAGGGCAUGGGAAAACAACUGCCUGGACCUUGUUCCCAGAGUGUCAAGUUCAUCACGUGUGAGUGGGGCCUGAGAUGCACAUCUGAGAAAUACGCAUUUCUAAGGUAUUCCCAGUGUGGUGCACCCUGAACAUCCCUGCUCUAGGGGAAGCUCUUCCUGCCCUUCGGAUCCUUUACCAGCUGCUCUGCUCUCCUAGGUGCCAACAGGUCAUGGCUGACCCUUCUGUUGCCCUUAGCCUAACACAAACACCUACCUCCAGGUGGGUGGAAUACCUGUUGUGGUUUGUGGUCAGGCGCUUCCAUGUGGAGCCGGACCAAAGCCCGUCUCCCAUGGAACCCAUAUUGUUGCUGAGCUGUUUCUCCUGCCCUGCUUCCCUCACUCCCUUCUCCUCAGAGCCUCUCCCCACAAUCACUUAACAAGAACGCUAGUUUCUUCCUCUGCUCCUAGAGAAUCCGACCUAAGAUGAAUCUUAUUCAUAUUUUUGUCAAAAUCAUCUUAAUAUGUAUAAAGCACCAAUUAUGCACUGGUGCUGUAUAUAGAGGCACGUUAAAAAAAAAUACACGUCCAGCCCCAUCCUGGUCACCGCAUGUACCCCUGCCCUAUAAUCAGAGUCCCAAAGGUGUCACUGCAUUCUGCAUCCUAGAAUCCUGCCUCCAUUUUGCAAGAGUGACAUUGCCCCUUAAGAUACUGAGUUGGCAAACCUGAUGGAUGCCUUAUGAUUGUCCGGGCCACCACACUGCCUACGGAAUGACACCCAGACUUCCUGGUUAGAGAUUAAAAACUCUAGAAACUGCUCCAGCUAGUUUGCUAAUGCUCCUGGGGCAUCUGCGUGAUUGCCUCACCCAAGCCAGCAUACUUACUGUAGGUGUUGUGUUCAGCUGGGCUCAGACACCUCUUUCUUUUCACGGACGCUUUCAAAGGAGCUUUUCAUGACUUUUCAGUCUGAUGGAGUCCCCGUUCCGUGUUUUCUUAACAAACUCUGUGCGCUUCUUUGAGAGUGUUUGUUUGCUUCCUCCAACCCCCAACGCCUACACAAAGCUUCAUAGCACUGUCUUUUUCUCCUGAUACCCAGAAACUGACUCACUGUAGGCACUCAAUUAUUCAGAUUUCGCUUCUGCUUUUCCUAUUAUGAGCUGUAUAAUUUGAAGCAAGAUAGUUAUUCUCUCGUCUCUUGAGUUACCUCAUCCCUGAAGUGGGACAGAUAAUAUAGCAGAUCUGUGAGUAAUGCAAGUGGAAGUGUCUAGCAGAAUGCCUCUGAAGAUCACAAACACAGUAAUGUCACCUCCCCUCUGUCAACACCCAUCAAAUCGUAUUCCCUCCUGAGGUUCUCUGCACCUUUCUGAGUCUUAUCCUUCCUUCAUGGCCUGGGCUUCCCUGCCCUCAGAAAUCUUUCCCAUUUUGGUCUCUGAUGGUUGGUGCCUGUGAGGGUGAAUAUGGAGACCACCCAAGAAAGUGGUGGCUGGUUAUGGCCUAUGGUCAACAGCAAAGGGUAUAUCUUAGCCCUUCUUCCCCUUCAUCACUGCAUGGAUUCUCCCCCCAGCCAGGAGCUCAGGGCCCCC